GAUGAACGCUGGCGGCGCGCCUAACACAUGCAAGUCGAACGAUUAAAGCACCUUCGGGUGUGUAUAAAGUGGCGAACGGCUGAGUAACACGUGGGCAACCUGCCCCUUUCAUUGGGAUAGCCACGGGAAACCGUGGAUAAUACCGAAUACUUCGAGACUUCCGCAUGGAAGACUCGAGAAAGCUCCGGCGGAGAGGGAUGGGCCCGCGGCCUGUUAGCUUGUUGGUGGGGUAACGGCCUACCAAGGCAAUGAUGGGUGGCUGGGUUGAGAGACCGACCAGCCAGAUUGGGACUGAGACACGGCCCAGACUCCUACGGGAGGCAGCAGUGGGGAAUAUUGCACAAUGGGCGAAAGCCUGAUGCAGAGACGCCGCGUGCGGGAUGAAGGCCUUCGGGUUGUAAACCGCUUUCAGCAGGGACGAGGCGAAAGUGACGGUACCUGCAGAAGAAGCCCCGGCUAACUACGUG
rnacentral:rRNA from 1 species